AUUGAACGCUGGCGGCAGGCCUAACACAUGCAAGUCGAACGAGUGGCGGACGGGUGAGUAAUGUCUGGGAAACUGCCUGAUGGAGGGGGAUAAAUACUGGAAACGGUAGCUAAUACCGCAUACCAUCAGAUGUGCCCAGAGGGGAUUAGCUGGUUGGUGGGGUAACGGCUCACCAAGGCAACGAUCCCUAGCUGGGCUGAGAGGAUGACAAGCCACACGGGAACUGAGACACGGUCCAGACGCCUACGGGAGGCAACAGUGGGGAAUAUUGCACAAGGGGCGAAGGCCUGAUGCAGCCAUGCCGCGUGUAUGAGGAAGGCCUUCGGGUUGUAAAGUACUUUCAGCGGGGAGGCGUUACCCGCAGAAGAAGCACCGGCUAACUCCGUGCCAGCAGCCGCGGUAAUUC
rnacentral:rRNA from 1 species